rnacentral:lncRNA from 1 species
CGCAUUGUAUUGACCAGUAUUGACUUAGGCUCCGACAAAGCUAAGCAUGGUCUUGUGCCACAGUAUCUUCGGUCGGAAAUGGGUGCACUUUCCGGUUCUGCCGGCUUCUGAAACACUUUAGCCCAAGAAUUAGAAUCAUUAUAAAGAAAAUUAGAAUCAGUGGAAGGCUCAGAAGAAGGCAGAAGUUCAUUUUAGAUCUAAUGCUGCGGAUCUUCGCCAUCAGUUCCUCUCUACGUUGAGGCGUUUGAUACGAGUCUAACCUGCAAAACGAGCUGCUAAACAUGAAUACAGUAGAAAACUAAUUCGGAAAUGCUUAAAGAAAACUGAACUAAUAAGUAAAUGUUAAAAACAAAAAACUUAACUGAUAAAGGUUUCUAAGUAAUUACGAUCAACUCUAUUUAUAAUUGUAAGACUAGGUUUGGGCACGCACACCCGUGGGUUUUAUUAUAAAGUUUACAUUUCUAUGAAUGUAGUUGAGUUUUAUUGAAGUAUUUAUUCUAUAUAUAAUUUAAUAAAAAUAUUAGUAGAACCUAUUGUUUGUAACAAUAUCUUUUACCCUUUUUAUUUCUAUAUAAAUGCGUAAUAUGUUCAAAUAUUGUUAACAAAUCUGGUAUGCUAAAUAUAUUUUUUUGGUGAAAGUAUGCUAAAUAUUUGAUUAAACAAAUCCCUAAAAGGCAUAGAAAAAUAAGAUUUACUGGUGAAAAAUAAAAGGGAAUCUGUAUAAUUAUUUUUUUUUUAAUAAGUGUGAUAUAGUUUUGUGAUAAAAAAAUUGUGAACUGGGCAGGUAUUCGUAAAAAAUGUAACGUGUUAUCUUAUCUAAUAAGUUGCUAGCAAUACCUGCUAGAUCAUUAAUUAUUAUGAAUCCAUUAAAUAAAAGAAAACAACAGUGCAUAUAAUAUCGAGACAGUAAAAAUCAUUGGUACUUAAAUUGAUGGAUCAAUUUAUUCUUAAUAAAAAUUGUAAGGAUAGUUUAAAUGUGAGAAUCAAAAAUUUAUUUUACAAUAUUAUUAAAUAAAUACAAAAGUACAUUUAAUAAAUUUUGUAAGGAUGGUUCAACUUCAAAAUCACACAUUAAAAUCUAAGAAAAUAUGAUGAUAUAUAUUGAAAUCCAAUUAUCCGAUGAUAAGUUAUACCAUCGCGUAUAUGCUAUGCAGCUUUAUUCAGAUCCGUCUUAUUCAUGAUUAAUUUUUCGUUGAUGAAAAACUCUGAGGACAAAGAAAAAAGCUAAGACUCUUAGGUAUUUUUUUUUGACUUAUCUAAAUAUUUCUUAUGAGAUACCAAAAGUUAUUAGAGUACUUAACGAAAACCUAAAAGAACCUUGGAAACGAGUGAUGAUACAACUGACAGAAAGACGUGUGCAAAUGAGUACACAAUUUUUCUACUUGAGAACAUAUUGUGCCCAAUGAUCAACGACAUAAUAAAUCUCAUUUACAGAUGACACCAUUUUGUACUAAUUUUACCGAAUGUUUUCCUUUCAAACCGUAUAUAAGAACAAAAUACCCAUAAACAAAUACCAUUUCAUUGAUAGGAAAGGCACUGCCCAAAAGUAUAGUAUCAAACACAAACAUGAGCUUUUUAUUCGCAAUGACGUACGAUCGACCAAGACAAAUAAAUAACUCGAUUCCAAAAAAGUUUUUGAGAUCUGCUUGAUUGAAACCUCAAACACGACUAUUCCUUUUCUAGCUAUAUGGAGAAGAAGAUCCAGAUUUUAUCUCAAUCAAUCCAAAG